rnacentral:rRNA from 1 species
AUUGAACGCUGGCGGCAUGCCUUACACAUGCAAGUCGAACGGCAGCACGGGAGCAAUCCUGGUGGCGAGUGGCGAACGGGUGAGUAAUAUAUCGGAACGUGCCCAGUCGUGGGGGAUAACGUAGCGAAAGCUACGCUAAUACCGCAUCCGACCUAUGGAUGAAAGCGGGGAUCGCAAGACCUCGCGCGAUUGGAGCGGCCGAUAUAAGAUAGGUAGUUGGUGAGGUAAAGGCUCACCAAGCCGACGAUCUGUAGCUGGUCUGAGAGGACGACCAGCCACACUGGGACUGAGACACGGCCCAGACUCCUACGGGAGGCAGCAGUGGGGAAUUUUGGACAAUGGGCGCAAGCCUGAUCCAGCAAUGCCGCGUGCAGGAUGAAGGCCUUCGGGUUGUAAACUGCUUUUGUACGGAACGAAACGGCGAGCUCUAAUACAGUUUGCUAAUGACGGUACCGUAAGAAUAAGCACCGGCUAACUACGUGCCAGCCGCCGCCGUAA